CAUAGCCAAGAUCGUAACAUGGUCCCCCACCGCGCCCCUCAUAACAUUCCCUGCAGCACACCCCGACCGGCGGGUAACACGGAACUGGAGCCGGUGCUGGUGCAGGUGCCGGUGCCGGCGCCGGUGGUGGUGCUGAUGGUUUUGGUGGCUCUUUAGGCUUUUCUGGCUCUUUGGGUUUCGCAGGCUCUUUAGGUUUCUCGGGCUCUUUGGGUUUCUCCGGCUCUUUGGGUUUCGCGGGCUCUUUGGGCUUCUCCGGUUCUUUGGGUUUUUCAGGUUGUUUUGGCUUCUCGGGUUCUUUGGGUUUCUCAGGUUGUUUUGGCUUCUCGGGUUCUUUAGGUUUUGGUGGUGGUGGUUUAGGCUUUUCAGGUUCCAGGAUUGCAAUACUCUUGAUUGAACCUUCACCUUUGCAGCAUAGUUUGUCCCUGAUCUUUUCAGGACUGCAGCACACUACUUUUAUUCUCACCGUAUUCGUCUUCUCAUCGAAUAUCUGGUCUUGUAUUUCUCUUGUUC
rnacentral:lncRNA from 1 species